UUAAUUGUUUUGUUCAAAGAGUAUGAAGCAGGCUAUUAGUCUGGGGUCAUGACUCCAAGGUUCACUUCAGGUUAUUACCUAAGAGAGUUUUUGAACAAGAGUGGCUGAUUGAUUCUUUCCCACUGUUAUCCUCAUUAAUUAACAAAGACGCAUUGUGUUGGUGCUAAUUUGCAGAAUCUGGAAUGAAAUGUAAAACAGAUUCAGGCUGAUAAGAAUUGUUUUGUAUCUGCUAUUCUAUCUUGUUCCUUCCCCUCAUUUUUCCUUCUAAAGAUUUUGAGGUACAUGAAUUUCCAGCCUGAUUAUAAUUAACUCUUUUUCCACAUGACAAAUACUGUCUCUAAUGAUUAAGCGAUGAGCAGGAAGUAGGUCUUUGACAUUUAUUUUCCAAUGCAGCAUAAACUUGGCUCUCCUAUUACUCUCCCUAUGACCAAGAAAAAGUCAUCUAAGCUUUGCUGCUCAGAUCCCCCUUCUGGAAAAUAUGGAUAAUAAAAUGCAGAUCUGAACACUUUACCUCCCUCUCUCCACUGACAUUUUUAAAUGGCUCCCAUGGCCUGCAACACAAGAUUCAAGCUCGAUGUUUUAGAAGCCUUGAUGGUUUGGCUUCAAUUUUCUUUCCUGGUCUCAUAUUCCGCCAUUGUCCAUAAGGCCUGGAGCUACAGGGAACCACACGGACUGAAAUUCGAGGAAAGACAGCUGCUUCUAAAGAGACAUGAGUGGCAAAGAAUGAGUUGAAAUGAUGCUGAGCAUCAACAAGCAGGUAAGAAAAAUUCAGCUGAAUUUUCUAGCAAAUUAUUCAAAGCCUAGUGUGGGUUCGUGUGAGAAUAUAGAACCACCAGGAACCAAAGGUAAAGGAGACUCUAUUUAUACUAUUCACCUAAGUCUACGGUGCUCUAAACAAAACUACCGUAAGUGAUCUUUAGGUGUACUUACGAUGUCAUUCAACACUUACAGUGUAAAAUGAUAUCAUCGGCAACAUCACCUGCUCUUCUUAUUGGUUGUAUUAGGUGGAUUCAUUCUAAUGAUCUCUCCUAAUUGGUAAUAUCUUAUGCAAAAUAGAGAAAUUGAGAAAGAAUCCAUAUUAUAAGAUGGCUUUCAACUUUACAAACGAUACAUACAUAUACUUGGGAGGGGUGUUUUUUCCUUAUCUUCAGACAGAUACACUUAUGUUUUAAGAGACUGACACAGAGUGUGUUUUAAAAUGUUAGAUCGUUUCUGUGUUUGUUCUUUUUAACUGUCAAACACUUUCAAAAUCUUUCUAUAACAUGAGUUCGAUUCUUUUCAACCAAUCUCUUGAGUUGUUUUUAAAAUCCACCAUGCCACUGAGGGAGAAGGGCGGACACCCUCCCAGAACUGUUAAGUAGAAGAAGCUGACUUUGGAAGACCAAAUUGCAUCCAAAUUUCUGAUGCUCUUAGUGUGGAGAUUGGGCAGGCUGGGUAUGCAGUCUCUGCACUGAGCUUUUUUCCUACCUGGUGUACCAUCCAUCACUGGAGAAAAUUUGAGACACAGCUACAGUAGCUGAGGAUAUGUGCAGUGAGUAAGUGUUUGGAAUGAAGUCAGUUUGGUCAAAGACAGCUAAUUUCCAUUAUUUUCUUUGAUCUUUCCAGCACAGCAGGUGGUAAUGUACACCCAAAACUUUCUCCCCGUAAAUUCCCUUUCCAAAUGUAUUUUACUUUCCUCUCCUGUACAUACUUUUUGCUCUAAGUUAACUUAGUUUUUAACUGUUUUCCAUAAAGCUUUCCUCGUGUCUGCCUCCAGGUUUUCUUCCCCCACCACCCCCAGCUUUAUUGAGGUAUAAGUGACAAAUAAAAUUGCAUAAAUUUAAGGUAUAUAAUGUGAU
rnacentral:lncRNA from 1 species